AUUGAACGCUGGCGGCAGGCCUAACACAUGCAAGUCGAGCGGAUGAAGGGAGCUUGCUCCUGGAUUCAGCGGCGGACGGGUGAGUAAUGCCUAGGAAUCUGCCUGGUAGUGGGGGAUAACGUCCGGAAACGGGCGCUAAUACCGCAUACGUCCUGAGGGAGAAAGUGGGGGAUCUUCGGACCUCACGCUAUCAGAUGAGCCUAGGUCGGAUUAGCUAGUUGGUGGGGUAAAGGCCUACCAAGGCGACGAUCCGUAACUGGUCUGAGAGGAUGAUCAGUCACACUGGAACUGAGACACGGUCCAGACUCCUACGGGAGGCAGCAGUGGGGAAUAUUGGACAAAGGGCGAAAGCCUGAUCCAGCCAUGCCGCGUAUGUGAAGAAGGUCUUCGGAUUGUAAAGCACUUUAAGUUGGGAGGAAGGGCAGUAAGUUAAUACCUUGCUGUUUUGACGUUACCAACAGAAUAAGCACCGGCUAACUUCGUG
rnacentral:rRNA from 1 species